UGGGGAAUUUUGGACAAUGGGGGAAACCCUGAUCCAGCCAUCCCGCGUGUGCGAUGAAGGCCUUCGGGUUGUAAAGCACUUUUGGCAGGAAAGAAACGUCAUGGGUUAAUACCCCGUGAAACUGACGGUACCUGCAGAAUAAGCACCGGCUAACUACGUGCCAGCAGCCGCGGUAAUACGUAGGGUGCAAGCGUUAAUCGGAAUUACUGGGCGUAAAGCGUGCGCAGGCGGUUCGGAAAGAAAGAUGUGAAAUCCCAGAGCUCAACUUUGGAACUGCGUUUUUAACUACCGGGCUAGAGUGUGUCAGAGGGGGGUGGAAUUCCGCGUGUAGCAGUGAAAUGCGUAGAUAUGCGGAGGAACACCGGUGGCGAAGGCAGCCUCCUGGGAUAACACUGACGCUCAUGCACGAAAGCGUGGGGAGCAAACAGG
rnacentral:rRNA from 1 species